AGAUAUGAGCUUAUGCAAAACGAGCUAGGAAUGGCAGAGGAUAGGGGUGAAAGGCCAAACAAAUCUGGAGAUAGCUGGUUCUCCCCGAAAACUAUUGAGGUAGUGCCUCGUGUUGAGGCUCCAGGGGGUAGAGCACUGUUUUGGCUAGGGGGACAUGUAGUCUUACCAAACCAAGGCAAACUCCGAAUACCUGGAAGCUAUACACGGGAGACAGAGCACCGGGUGCUAACGUCCGGACUCAAAAGGGAAACAACCCAGACCGCCGGCUAAGGUCCCCAAUAGCAGCUAAGUGGAAAACGAAGUGGAAAGGCCGUGACAACCAGGAAGUUGGCUUAGAAGCAGCCAUCCUUCAAAGAAAGCGUAAUAGCUCACUGGUCGAGUCUUUCUGCGCGGAAGAUGUAACGGGGCUAAGCUGCUAACCGAAGCCGCGGAUGCAUGGAAAAAUCCAUGCGUGGUAGGGGAGCGUUCUGUAAGUCUGAGAAGGCGGAUUGAGAAGUCUGCUGGAGAUAUCAGAAGUGCGAAUGCUGACAUGAGUAACGUUAAAGAGGGUGAAAAGCCCUCUCGCCGCAAGCCCAAGGUUUCCUGCUCUACGUUCAUCGGAGCAGGGUGAGUCGGCCCCUAAGGUCAGGCCGAAAGGCGUAGCCGAUGGGAACCGGGUUAAUAUUCCCGGACCGCUGUCAGAUGCGAAGGGGUGACGGAGAGGCUAAGGUCAUCCGAGUGUUGGACUACUCGGUACUUAGACGAGGACGGUUGGCAGGCAAAUCCGCCAACGGAUCGUCCGGAUCGGAAGUGGUGCUCCCACGGGAGCGAAGUGAUUGGAAACUCUUCCAGGAAAAACCUCUAAGCUACAGUCUGACAGGACCGUACCGCAAACCGACACUGGUGGGCGAGCUGAAUAUGCUCAGGCGCUUGAGAGAACUCGGGAGAAGGAACUCGGCAAAUUGACACCGUAACUUCGGAAGAAGGUGUGCCGCAGUAGCGUGAGAGGAGAGACACCUUGAGCGUGAGACGGUCUCAGAGAAUAGGUGGCUGCGACUGUUUAUUAAAAACACAGCACUCUGCAAAGUCGAAAGACGACGUAUAGGGUGUGAUGCCUGCCCGGUGCUGGAAGAUUAAUUGAUGGGCUGAGAGGCCUUGAUCGAAGUCCCAGUAAACGGCGGCCGUAACUAUAACGGUCCUAAGGUAGCGAAAUUCCUUGUCGGGUAAGUUCCGACCUGCACGAAUGGCAUAACGAUGGCCACACUGUCUCCUCCCGAGACUCAGUGAAGUUGAAGUGUUUGUGAUGAUGCAAACUACCCGCGGCUAGACGGGAAGACCCCAUGAACCUUUACUGCAGCUUUGCAUUGAACUGUGAACCGAUUUGUGUAGGAUAGGUGGGAGACAGAGAAGGAGGAGCGCCAGCUCCUCUGGAGUCAACCUUGAAAUACCACCCUGAUUUGUUUGCGGUUCUAACCAAGACAGGACCACACUGUUUGGGACCGUGCAUGGUAGGCAGUUUGACUGGGGCGGUCUCCUCCUAAAGGGUAACGGAGGAGUACGAAGGUACGCUAGGUACGGUCGGAAAUCGUGCUGAUAGUGCAAUGGCAAAAGCGUGCUUGACUGCGAGAGCAACAACUCGAGCAGAUGCGAAAGCAGGUCAUAGUGAUCCGGUGGCACUGAAUGGAAGGGCCAUCGCUCAACGGAUAAAAGGUACUCUGGGGAUAACAGGCUGAUACCGCCCAAGAGUUCAUAUCGACGGCGGUGUUUGGCACCUCGAUGUCGGCUCAUCUCAUCCUGGGGCUGAAGUCGGUCCCAAGGGUAUGGCUGUUCGCCAUUUAAAGCGGUACGCGAGCUGGGUUCAGAACGUCGUGAGACAGUUCGGUCCCUAUCCUCCGCGGGCGCAAGGGAGUUGAGGAGAUCUGCCCCUAGUACGAGAGGACCGGGGUGGACGGACCUCUGGUGACGCGGUUGUCGACCAACGGCACCGCCGCCUAGCUACGUCCGGCACGGAUAACCGCUGAAGGCAUCUAAGUGGGAAGCCGCCUCCGAGAUGAGCUCCCUUUCCGGUAAGGGCCCAGAUAGACUAUCUGGUCGAUAGGGCGCAGCUGCAAGCAGGGCGACCUGCUCAGGCGAGCGCUACUAAUAGCCCGAGCUCUUCU
rnacentral:rRNA from 1 species